GUUCAUUCCGGGGGGGUGGGGGGGGGGCGGUCUGGAUAAAAGCCACUACCAAAGCGCUAUAGGAGAAAACCAAACCAUCAGCGCGUUCAAUCAAUCUUAGUGUUUUGAACCCGCCUCCAGAUUGUUUUCCUGAAUUGUGGCUGCGCAGAGACUCCGGGGUGGGAUGAGAACCAAGACUGCCCCACUGCCUCCCUACCCGACUGACAUUGGACACGGAACAAGAGACCUGACAGGGUCCAACAGAGAAACGCGGAUGGGCUCAGAGCUUCUUUCCAGACCCGCCAGUCUCUGGUGCAACAGAUGAUGUCCGGGAAGAGGCGGAGCCAGGUGUGACAGUUCUGAGGGCCAAAGACAGCCGUUGGGUUAAUCAAUUGUUCUUUGGAGCAGCUUGGACACCUUUAGAGGGUGGGCUCUAUAGGUGAAAGAACGGCAGGCGGACCGACCAGAAGUUCGUGCUCUGAUGGCCGGGGAUGUGCAGAACUAGAGGAUGCGGAGCCGAUUGACAGCAGGCCUGAGAGAGAGAUCGAGCACUCACAGCCCAACAAAACAAUCAUCUGCUCUGCUGGAGUCAAGCAGCAGGUGCAGCUGGCAAUCUAACCUGCUGCUA
rnacentral:lncRNA from 1 species